rnacentral:misc_RNA from 1 species
GCCGUACUUAUUGCCGUGUAAAAAUGUCGGAAUGUCACUGCCAAAUCAAAUCACUCUUCUUAGGCAAACAAAUGAAGCUCUUCGUUACUGUAUCAGCAUCACCGAGACUGAGAGAUGAUCAGGAAACUAUCCAUCACAAUUUCAAUUUACCCAAGUCAAUCUUUUGCUUAGGGUACGUGUAGGCCUCGUAGUUUAUCUUCUGCCCAAGGGAGCUCAGCUUUGUGAGCGUGGUUAUCAGGUCAACCUCGUAGUCAGUUCGAGAGACCGUCUCGCGACUGCGUUGAUACUUCUCGACCCAUGGGCGG